GAUGAAGAACGUAGCGAAAUGCGAUAAGUAGUGUGGAUUGCAGAAUUCAGUGAAUCAUCGAAUCUUUGAACGCAUAUUGCGCCCCUUGGUAUUCCAUGGGGCAUGCCUGUUCGAGCGUCAUUUGUACCUUCAAGCUCUGCUUGGUGUUGGGUGUUUGUCUCGCCUCUGCGUGUAGACUCGCCUCAAAACAAUUGGCAGCCGGCGUAUUGAUUUCGGAGCGCAGUACAUCUCGCGCUUUGCACUCAUAACGACGACGUCCAAAAGUACAUUUUUACACUCUUGACCUCGGAUCAGGUAGGGAUACCCGCUGAACUUAAGCAUAUCAAUAAGCGGAGGA
rnacentral:misc_RNA from 1 species